UACGAGGGGGGCUAGCGUUGCUCGGAAUCACUGGGCGUAAAGGGUGCGUAGGCGGGUCUUUAAGUCAGGGGUGAAAUCCUGGAGCUCAACUCCAGAACUGCCUUCGAUACUGGGAGUCUUGAGUUCGGGAGAGGUGAGUGGAACUGCGAGUGUAGAGGUGAAAUUCGUAGAUAUUCGCAAGAACACCAGUGGCGAAGGCGGCUCACUGGCCCGAUACUGACGCUGAGGUGCGAAAGCGUGGGGAGCAAACAGG
rnacentral:rRNA from 1 species